AGUGAACGCUGGCGGUAGGCCUAACACAUGCAAGUCGAACGGCAGCACAGUAAGAGCUUGCUCUUACGGGUGGCGAGUGGCGGACGGGUGAGGAAUACAUCGGAAUCUACUUUUUCGUGGGGGAUAACGUAGGUAAACUUACGCUAAUACCGCAUACGACCUACGGGUGAAAGCAGGGGAUCUUCGGACCUUGCGCGAUUGAAUGAGCCGAUGUCGGAUUAGCUAGUUGGCGGGGUAAAGGCCCACCAAGGCGACGAUCCGUAGCUGGGCUGAGAGGAUGAACAGCCACACGGGAACUGAGAGACGGUCCAGACUCCUAGGGGAGGCAGCAGUGGGGAAUAUUGGAAAAUGGGCGCAAGCCUGAUCCAGCCAUACCGCGUGGGUGAAGAAGGCCUGCGGGUGGUAAAGCCCUUUUGGUGGGAAAGAAAAGCAGCAGGUUAAUACCCCGCUGUUCUGACGGUACCCAAAGAAUAAGCACCGGCUAACUUCGU
rnacentral:rRNA from 1 species